UACAGAGGUCUCAAGCGUUGUUCGGAUUCAUUGGGCGUAAAGGGCGCGUAGGCGGUCUGCUAAGUUGGAUGUGAAAACUCUGGGCUUAACCCAGAGCCUGCAUUCAAUACUGACAGGCUAGAGUUCUGGAGGGGAUAGCGGAAUUCCUGGUGUAGCGGUGAAAUGCGUAGAUAUCAGGAGGAACACCGGUGGCGAAGGCGGCUAUCUGGACAGAGUCUGACGCUGAGGCGCGAAAGCUAGGGGAGCAAACAGG
rnacentral:rRNA from 1 species